rnacentral:rRNA from 1 species
AUUGAACGCUGGCGGCAGGCCUAACACAUGCAAGUCGAGCGAGCGGCGCAGGGGGGAGUGAUAUCUGGGAAACUGCCCGUGGGAGGGGGAUAAAUACACGAAACGCUGGCUAUUACCGCACAUCAUAAGAGGUGCGCCGAUGGGAUUGGCUAGUAGUGGGGGUAUAGGCUCUCCACGGCGACGAUCCCUAGCUGGUCUGAGAGGAUGACCAGCCACACUGGAACUGAGACACGGUCCAGACUCCUACGGGAGGCAGCAGUGGGGAAUAUUGCACAAUGGGCGCAAGCCUGAUGCAGCCAUGCCGCGUGUGUGAAGAAGGCCUUCGGGUUGUAAAGUACUUUCAGCGGGGAGGCGUUACCCGCAGAAGAAGCACCGGCUAACUCCGUGCCAGCAGCCGCGGUAAUAC